rnacentral:rRNA from 1 species
GUCGUCCGACUCCUAUAAUGCAGUCCGAGCGAACAGAAGGGGAGCUUGCUCCCCGGAUGUUAGCGGCGGACGGGUGAGUAACACGUGGGUAACCUGCCUGUAAGACUGGGAUAACUCCGGGAAACCGGAGCUAAUACCGGAUAGUUCCUUGAACCGCAUGGUUCAAGGAUGAAAGACGGUUUCGGCUGUCACUUACAGAUGGACCCGCGGCGCAUUAGCUAGUUGGUGGGGUAAUGGCUCACCAAGGCGACGAUGCGUAGCCGACCUGAGAGGGUGAUCGGCCACACUGGGACUGAGACACGGCCCAGACUCCUACGGGAGGCAGCAGUAGGGAAUCUUCCGCAAUGGACGAAAGUCUGACGGAGCAACGCCGCGUGAGUGAUGAAGGUUUUCGGAUCGUAAAGCUCUGUUGUUAGGGAAGAACAAGUGCGAGAGUAACUGCUCGCACCUUGACGGUACCUAACCAGAAAGCCACGGCUAACUACGUGCCAGCAGCCGCGGUAAUACGUAGGUGGCAAGCGUUGUCCGGAAUUAUUGGGCGUAAAGGGCUCGCAGGCGGUUUCUUAAGUCUGAUGUGAAAGCCCCCGGCUCAACCGGGGAGGGUCAUUGGAAACUGGGAAACUUGAGUGCAGAAGAGGAGAGUGGAAUUCCACGUGUAGCGGUGAAAUGCGUAGAGAUGUGGAGGAACACCAGUGGCGAAGGCGACUCUCUGGUCUGUAACUGACGCUGAGGAGCGAAAGCGUGGGGAGCGAACAGGAUUAGAUACCCUGGUAGUCCACGCCGUAAACGAUGAGUGCUAAGUGUUAGGGGGUUUCCGCCCCUUAGUGCUGCAGCUAACGCAUUAAGCACUCCCGCCUGGGGAGUACAGUCGCAAGACUGAAACUCAAAGGUAAUGACAGGAGGCCGCGCGCAAGCGGUGGAAGCUGGAGGC